rnacentral:rRNA from 1 species
AAUCAACGCUGGCGGCGCGCUUAACACAUGCAAGUCGAGCGAGAAAGCGGGAGCAAUCCUGUGAGUACAGCGGCGUACGGGUGAGUAACACGUGGAUGAUCUACCUUUGAGUGGGGAAUAACCCUGGGAAACCGGGGCUAAUACCGCAUGAGCCUGGGAAGGGAAAGCCGAAAGGCGCUCAAAGAGGAGUCCGCGGCCGAUUAGCUAGUUGGUAGGGUAAAGGCCUACCAAGGCGGGGAUCGGUAGCCGGCCUGAGAGGGCACACGGCCACACUGGC